UACGUAGGUGGCGAGCGUUGUCCGGAAUACUGGGCGUAAAGCGUGCGCAGGCGGUGAUGUAAGACAGAUGUGAAAUCCCCCGGCUUAACCUGGGAAUGGCAUUUGGGACUGCAAGGCUUGAGUGCGGCAGAGGAGACUGGAAUUCCUGGUGUAGCGGUGAAAUGCGUAGAGAUCAGGAAGAACACCGGUGGCGAAAGCGUUCUGCUAGACCUGUACUGACACUGAGGGACGAAAGCUAGGGGAGCGAAUGGG
rnacentral:rRNA from 1 species